rnacentral:rRNA from 1 species
GACGAACGCUGGCGGCGUGCCUAAUACAUGCAAGUCGAGCGCAGGAAAUCGACGGAACCCUUCGGGGGGAAGUCGAUGGAAUGAGCGGCGGACGGGUGAGUAACACGUAAAGAACCUGCCCUCAGGUCUGGGAUAACCACGAGAAAUCGGGGCUAAUACCGGAUGGUCAUCGGACCGCAUGGUCCGAGGAUGAAAGGCGCUUCGGCGUCGCCUGGGGAUGGCUUUGCGGUGCAUUAGCUAGUUGGUGGGGUAAUGGCCCACCAAGGCGACGAUGCAUAGCCGACCUGAGAGGGUGAGCGGCCACACUGGGACUGAGACACGGCCCAGACUCCUACGGGAGGCAGCAGUAGGGAAUCUUCCACAAUGGACGAAAGUCUGAUGGAGCAACGCCGCGUGAACGAUGAAGGCCUUCGGGUCGUAAAGUUCUGUUGUAAGGGAAGAACAAGUGCCGCAGGCAAUGGCGGCACCUUGACGGUACCUUGCGAGAAAGCCACGGCUAACUACGUGCCAGCCGCCGCCGUAACAC